GACGAACGCUGGCGGCGUGCCUAAUACAUGCAAGUUGAGCGCUGAAGGUUGGUACUUGUACCAACUGGAUGAGCAGCGAACGGGUGAGUAACGCGUGGGGAAUCUGCCUUUGAGCGGGGGACAACAUUUGGAAACGAAUGCUAAUACCGCAUAAAAACUUUAAACACAAGUUUUAAGUUUGAAAGAUGCAAUUGCAUCACUCAAAGAUGAUCCCGCGUUGUAUUAGCUAGUUGGUGAGGUAAAGGCUCACCAAGGCGAUGAUACAUAGCCGACCUGAGAGGGUGAUCGGCCACAUUGGGACUGAGACACGGCCCAAACUCCUACGGGAGGCAGCCGUAGGGAAUCUUCGGCAAUGGACGAAAGUCUGAACGAGCAACGCCGCGUGAGUGAAGAAGGUUUUCGGAUCGUAAGACUCUGUUGGUAGAGAAGAACGUUGGUGAGAGUGGAAAGCUCAUCAAGUGACGGUAACUACCCAGAAAGGGACGGCUAACUACGUG
rnacentral:rRNA from 1 species